rnacentral:tRNA from 1 species
GCCUGGGUGGCUCAGUGGGUUAAGCAUCUGACUUCAGCUCAGGUCACAAAUCUCACCGUUCGUGGGUUCGAGCCCCCCAUCUGGCU